UGGCUCAGGACGAACGCUGGCGGCGUGCCUAAUACAUGCAAGUCGAGCGGAUCGAUGGGAGCUUGCUCCCUGAGAUCAGCGGCGGACGGGUGAGUAACACGUGGGUAACCUGCCUGUAAGACUGGGAUAACUCCGGGAAACCGGGGCUAAUACCGGAUAACUCAGUUCCUCGCAUGAGGAACUGUUGAAAGGUGGCUUUUCGCUACCACUUACAGAUGGACCCGCGGCGCAUUAGCUAGUUGGUGAGGUAACGGCUCACCAAGGCAACGAUGCGUAGCCGACCUGAGAGGGUGAUCGGCCACACUGGGACUGAGACACGGCCCAGACUCCUACGGGAGGCAGCAGUAGGGAAUCUUCCGCAAUGGACGAAAGUCUGACGGAGCAACGCCGCGUGAGUGAAGAAGGUUUUCGGAUCGUAAAACUCUGUUGUUAGGGAAGAACAAGUGCCGUUCGAAUAGGGCGGCACCUUGACGGUACCUAACCAGAAAGCCACGGCUAACUACGUGCCAGC
rnacentral:rRNA from 2 species